GUUGUAUAGUCAAGUAAUUAAGUGCAUGUGGUGGAUGCCUUGGCAGUCAGAGGCGAUGAAAGACGUGAUAGCCUGCGAAAAGCUCCGGGGAGGCGGCAAAUAUCCUUUGAUCCGGAGAUGUCUGAAUGGGGGAACCCACCUACUUUAAGGUAGGUAUUGCAACAUGAAUACAUAGUGUUGCAAGGCGAACGAGGGGAAGUGAAACAUCUCAGUACCCUUAGGAAAAGAAAUCAAUUGAGAUUCCCUCAGUAGCGGCGAGCGAACGGGGAUCAGCCCAUUAAGUUAUGUGUGUUUUAGUGGAACGCUCUGGGAAGUGCGAACGUAGAGGGUGAUAUUCCCGUACACGAAAGGGCACACAUAAUGAUGACGAGUAGGGCGAGGCACGUGAAACCUUGUCUGAAUAUGGGGGGACCAUCCUCCAAGGCUAAAUACUCCUGACUGACCGAUAGUGAACCAGUACCGUGAGGGAAAGGCGAAAAGAACCCCUGUGAGGGGAGUGAAAUAGAUCCUGAAACCGCAUGCAUACAAGCAGUGGGAGCACCUUCGUGGUGUGACUGCGUACCUUUUGUAUAAUGGGUCAGCGACUUAUAUUCAGUAGCANAGGUUAACCGUAUAGGGGAGCCGUAGAGAAAUCGAGUCUUAAUAGGGCGUUUAGUUGCUGGGUAUAGACCCGAAACCAGGCGAUCUAUCCAUGAGCAGGUUGAAGGUUGGGUAACACUAACUGGAGGACCGAACCCACUGUCGUUGAAAAGCCAGGGGAUGACUUGUGGAUAGGGGUGAAAGGCUAAUCAAGCCUGGUGAUAGCUGGUUCUCCCCGAAAGCUAUUUAGGUAGCGCCUCGGACGAAUACCAUAGGGGGUAGAGCACUGUUUCGGCUAGGGGGUCAUCCCGACUUACCAAACCGAUGCAAACUCCGAAUACCUAUGAGUACUAUCCGGGAGACAGACUGCGGGUGCUAACGUCCGUAGUCAAGAGGAAAACAAUCCAGACCGCCAGCUAAGGCCCCAAAAUCAUAGUUAAGUGGGAAACGAUGUGGGAAGGCAUAGACAGCUAGGAGGUUGGCUUANNNNNNNNNNNNNNNNNNNNNNNNNNNNNNNNNNNNNNNNNNGAAGCAGCCACCCUUUAAAGAAAGCGUAAUAGCUCACUAGUCGAGUCGGCCUGCGCGGAAGAUGUAACGGGGCUAAAACUAUGUGCCGAAGCUGCGGAUUUGACAUUAGUCAAGUGGUAGGGGAGCGUUCUGUAAGCCGAUGAAGGUGUAUUGAGAAGNGAAGCAGCCACCCUUUAAAGAAAGCGUAAUAGCUCACUAGUCGAGUCGGCCUGCGCGGAAGAUGUAACGGGGCUAAAACUAUGUGCCGAAGCUGCGGAUGUAUACUUUGUAUACGUGGUAGGGGAGCGUUCUGUAAGCCGAUGAAGGUGUGUUGAGAAGCAUGCUGGAGGUAUCAGAAGUGCGAAUGCUGACGUGAGUAACGACAAAACGGGUGAAAAACCCGUUCGCCGAAAGACCAAGGGUUCCAGUCCAACGUUAAUCGGGGCUGGGUGAGUCGACCCCUAAGGCGAGGCCGAAAGGCGUAGUCGAUGGGAAAAUGGUUAAUAUUCCAUUACUUCUGUGUAAUGCGAUGAGAGGACGGAGAAGGCUAAAUCAGCCUGGCGUUGGUUGUCCAGGUGAAAGGAUGUAGGCAUGUAUCUUAGGCAAAUCCGGGGUACUCUAUGCUGAGAUCUGAUAGCAAGCUGUACUUGUACAGCGAAGUGGUUGAUGCCAUGCUUCCAGGAAAAGUCUCUAAGCUUCAGUUACACAGGAAUCGUACCCGAAACCGACACAGGUGGUCAGGUCGAGUAGACCAAGGCGCUUGAGAGAACUCUGCUGAAGGAACUAGGCAAAAUGGUACCGUAACUUCGGGAGAAGGUACGCUGUUGUUGGUGAUGGAACUCGCUUCCUGAGCUGACGACAGCCGCAGAAACCAGGCCGCUGCAACUGUUUAUUAAAAACAUAGCACUCUGCAAACACGAAAGUGGACGUAUAGGGUGUGAUGCCUGCCCGGUGCUGGAAGGUUAAUUGAUGGGGUUAGCGUAAGCGAAGCUCUUGAUCGAAGCCCCAGUAAACGGCGGCCGUAACUAUAACGGUCCUAAGGUAGCGAAAUUCCUUGUCGGGUAAGUUCCGACCUGCACGAAUGGCAUAAUGAUGGCGGCGCUGUCUCCAGCAGAGGCUCAGUGAAAUCGAAAUCGCUGUGAAGAUGCAGUGUACCCGCGGCUAGACGGAAAGACCCCGUGAACCUUUACUGCAGCUUGACACUGAACUUUGACCUUACUUGUGUAGGAUAGGUGGGAGGCUUUGAAGCUGGAACGCUAGUUCCAGUGGAGCCGUCCUUGAAAUACCACCCUGGUAAUGUUGAGGUUCUAACUCUGUCCCGUGAUCCGGGACGAGGACCGUGUCUGGUGGGUAGUUUGACUGGGGCGGUCUCCUCCUAAAGAGUAACGGAGGAGUACGAAGGUGCGCUCAGCGUGGUCGGAAAUCACGCGUAGAGUAUAAAGGCAAAAGCGCGCUUAACUGCGAGACCCACAAGUCGAGCAGGUACGAAAGUAGGUCUUAGUGAUCCGGUGGUUCUGUAUGGAAGGGCCAUCGCUCAACGGAUAAAAGGUACUCUGGGGAUAACAGGCUGAUACCGCCCAAGAGUUCAUAUCGACGGCGGUGUUUGGCACCUCGAUGUCGGCUCAUCUCAUCCUGGGGCUGAAGCAGGUCCCAAGGGUAUGGCUGUUCGCCAUUUAAAGAGGUACGCGAGCUGGGUUUAGAACGUCGUGAGACAGUUCGGUCCCUAUCUACCGUGGGCGCUGGAAAUUUGAGAGGAUCUGCUCCUAGUACGAGAGGACCAGAGUGGACGAACCUCUGGUGUACCGGUUGUGACGCCAGUCGCAUCGCCGGGUAGCUAUGUUCGGAAGGGAUAACCGCUGAAAGCAUCUAAGCGGGAAGCCUACCUCAAGAUAAGAUUUCCCUAGGACUUUAUGUCCUCUAAAGAGCCGUUCGAGACUAGGACGUUGAUAGGUUGGAUGUGGAAGCAUAGUGAUAUGUGAAGCUGACCAAUACUAAUUGCUCGUGAGGCUUGACUAUACAACACCCAAGCAGUUG
rnacentral:rRNA from 1 species